CUCUAUUUUACGUAGCCUUGUGUUCAGUUAAAAGUAGGAGAUUCUUUUACUAGGAAGAAGGAGUAGAUUCUGUCCUGUCAUGUGUCCCUUCCCUUUGUCCCUUAGCAGAUGCAGUCAGCCACAUUGGACCAGUACUUCUGAGAGACAAUGGGUUCCUGCUCCAAGAUCACACAGCAGGAGCUGGAGACAGGGCUGAAGCCAGAUCAGUCUGACGCACAGCCAAGCCCAUUCUUCUUCCUUCCCACUUUAAACUGUGGUGCAGACAGAUGGGGAGGCUUGGCAUGGAAAUUCCUCCCUGGUCACAGGACUGUGAGGCCGUCCAACACACGGGCACCAGGCAAAUGGCUCUGGAAAUGAAGAACGAUGGCUCCUUGGCCUGACAAACCCUCUGCUGGUCUCAUGGCAAAUGAGGACCUCAUUCUGCCCGCCCUUCCAUAAAUUUGUUGCAAGCCUG
rnacentral:lncRNA from 1 species